rnacentral:rRNA from 1 species
CCUACGGGAGGCAGCAGUGAGGAAUAUUGGUCAAUGGGCGAGAGCCUGAACCAGCCAAGUAGCGUGAAGGAUGACUGCCCUACGGGUUGUAAACUUCGUUUAUAAAGGAAUAAAGUGAGGCACGUGUGCCUGUUUGUAUGUAUUUUAUGAAUAAGGAUCGGCUAACUCCGUGCAAGCAGCCGCGGUAAUACGGAGGAACCGAGCGUUAUCCGGAUUUAUUGGGGUUAAAGGGAGCGUAGAUGGGUUGUUAAGUCAGUUGUGAAAGUUUGCGGCUCAACCGUAAAAUUGCAAUUGAUACUGGCAGUCUUGAGUACAGUUGGGGUAGGCGGAAUUCGUGGUGUAGCGGUGAAAUGCUUAGAUAUCACGAAGAACUCCGAUUGCGAAGGCAGCUUACUAAACUGCCACUGACAUUGAGGCUCGAAAGUGUGGGUAUCAAACAGGAUUAGAUACCACUGUAGUC